rnacentral:rRNA from 1 species
GACAGAGGAUGCAAGCGUUGUCCGGAAUCAUUGGGCGUAAAGCGCGUGUAGGCGGUCCGGUAAGUCCGCUGUGAAAGUCCAGGGCUCAACCCUGGGAUGCCGGUGGAUACUGUCGGGCUAGAGUACGGAAGAGGCGAGUGGAAUUCCCGGUGUAGCGGUGAAAUGCGCAGAUAUCAGGAGGAACACCAAUGGCGAAGGCAGCACUCUGGGACGGUACUGACGCUGAGACGCGAAAGCGUGGGGAGCAAACAGG